AUAUCUUUUAUGAAUAAAGUUUAUUUUCAGGGAAAAAUCUAUUCUUAUCAGUUUAAUAUCUGAUAUGACCCUUAUCUGGGGAGCAUGCAUUAAAUUGAUUAUUAGAACAGGGAGAUGGAAAAGGGGCUUAUCCCUCUGCUCUGUGCACCAACUCAGCAUCACAAUGCCUCUAGGAAUGGUGCUCUUCCC